AGUGAGCGCUGGCGGCAGGCCUAAUACAUGCAAGUCGAACGGCAGCACAGUAUGAGUUCGCUCCUACGGUUGGCGAGUGGCGGACGGGUGAGGAAUACAUCGGAAUCUACUUUUUCGUGGGGGAUAACGUAGGGAAACUUAUGCUAAUACCGCAUAUGAUCUACGGGUGAAAGCAGGGGUUCUUCGGAGCUUGCGUGUCUGAAUGAGCCGAUGUCGGAUUAGCUAGUUGGCGGGGUAAAGGCCCACCAAGGCGACGAUCCGUAGCUGAUCUGAGAGGAUGAUCAGCCACACUGGAACUGAGACACGGUCCAGACUCCUACGGGAGGCAGCAGUGGGGAAUAUUGGACAAUGGGCGCAAGCCUGAUCCAGCCAUGCCGCGUGGGUGAAGAAGGCCUUCGGAUUGUAAAGCCCUUUUGUUAGGAAAGAAAAGCAGCGGAUUAAUACCCCGCUGUUCUGACGGUACCCAAAGAGUAAGCACCGGCUAACUUCGUG
rnacentral:rRNA from 1 species